CAGCAGCCACGGGAAUACGUAGGUGGCAAGCGUUGUCCGGAAUUAUUGGGUGUAAAGGGAGCGUAGACGGUUAAACAAGUCUGAAGUGAAAUGCCGGGGCUCAACCCCGGAGCUGCUUUGGGAACUGUAGAACUGGAGUGUCGGAGGGGUAAGCGGAAUUCCCAGUGUAGCGGUGAAAUGCGUAGAUAUUGGGAGGAACACCGGCGGCGAGGGCGGCUUACUGGACGACAACUGACGUUGAGGCUCGAAGGCGUGGGUAGCAAACAGGAUUAGAUACCCCAGUAGUCCCUGUCUCUUAUAC
rnacentral:rRNA from 1 species